rnacentral:rRNA from 1 species
UACGUAGGGGGCUAGCGUUGUCCGGAAUCAUUGGGCGUAAAGCGCGUGUAGGCGGUUCGGUAAGUCCGCUGUGAAAGUCCAGGGCUCAACCCUGGAAUGCCGGUGGAUACUGUCGGGCUCGAGUCCGGAAGAGGCGAGUGGAAUUCCUGGUGUAGCGGUGAAAUGCGCAGAUAUCAGGAGGAACACCAAUUGCGAAGGCAGCUCGCUGGGACGUUACUGACGCUGAGAAGCGAAAGCAUGGGGAGCGAACAGG